AGUAGCAUGUGCACCAUACCAAGAUUAUCAUGAAAGAUGGGACCACAAGAAUUCCUGGGACCAGAUGGAAAGAACUGUGUCAGCUGAGUUAACUGAGAACACAAGGAAUCUGGAUUACUGGAUCCUACAAAUUAGUCUGUGACAGCAUUUAGGAGAGAGACACUGGAGUCAUGCUUCAUCAUUGUGAGCCUCACAUCUCUGGAAGGUUAAAGCCUUAGGGUGGAGCUCUGAAAAUUUUAAACACAAACAGAAGCAGAAGGUGAAGUUCCAAAACAGAAGAAAGCUAAAUUUAUAUAUACAAAUGGCAAGUGUGGCUGGAUGAAGGUCCCGAAAGACAUCUAUUACACAAAGAAGGUGGGUGUGCUGGCGUGGCUUCUUUGAAAAUAUCGCCACCUAGAGGAAAUUAUGAAUCAAAGCAACAUCUGCAAUGCACCACGGAGACUGCAUAAGAGAAGUAUGACAUCUGUAAGAAGAC